GUCUAUAUGAAAUUAUAUAAAGUCUAGCCUGCCCAUUGAAAUAAUUUAAAAGGCCGCGGUAUUUUAACUGUGCAAAGGUAGCAUAAUCAUUAGUUUUUUAAUUGAAGGCUUGUAUGAAGGGUUGGACAAAGGAUAAUCUGUCUUUAUUUUAUUUUUGAAUUUUACUUUUAAGUGAAAAGGCUUAAAUAUUUUUAAGGGACGAUAAGACCCUAUAAAGCUUUAUAUUAUUUUUUUUUUUAUAGAUUAUUGUUGUGGAUAUAAUAAUAAAAUAAGGAAUAUUAUAUUGGGGUGAUAAGGGUAUAAAAUUAACUGCUCUAAAAUUAAAUCAAAUUUAUUUGUAAAAUAAUAAUAGAUCCUUUAUUAAGAUUAAAAGUUUAAGUUACUUUAGGGAUAACAGCGUUAUUUUUUUUGAGAGUUCUUAUUAAAAAAAAAGUUUGCGACCUCGAUGUUGAAUUAAAAUUUCUUUAAGGUGUAGCUGUCUUAAUAAGAGAGUCUGUUCGACUUUU
rnacentral:rRNA from 1 species